GUUGUACUAACAUUAUAUUUUAUUUAUUUAACCAGCAAAUUCUGCCUGAGGGGCACUGCCAUUUUAUUUGUUCAUUCAUUCCACUGGAGAGGGGUUUCACAGCCUCUGUAAAGCUCCAACUUGUCACCAUAGAGGAGGCAGAAACAUGGCUGGAGGACUUCCAAUAUUCAUCAAGAGUAACUUUAAGAGUGGACAAAACCUAUCCCAUUAUUACUGAGGAUACAGUCUGCCGCAACAGCUACCGAGUCGACAUCAGAUGCCAACAUAACACAAGGCAGCCUGGUUACACCCCAGAAAACACACACUGCCCUGUUGGCCUUUACCUUGUGUU